GGUCACAUGGUCUGGUGGUUAAGACAUUGAAAAUUUGAAUCUAGUAACCUAAGUUCAAAUCUCAAUGGGACCU
rnacentral:tRNA from 1 species